GACAGAGGUGCCGAGCGUUAGGCGGAAUCACUGGGCUUAAAGCGCGUGUAGGUGGCGGCCUAAAGUACCUUGUGAAAUCCUGCGGCUCAACCGCAGAACUGCUUGGUAUACUGGGUCGCUUGAGUCAUCCAGGGGCAACUGGAACAAGCGGUGGAGCGGUGAAAUGCGUAGAUAUCGCUUGGAACGCCAAAGGUGAAAACAGGUUGCUGGGGAUGUUCUGACACUGAGACGCGGAAAGCCAGGGGAGCGAACGGG
rnacentral:rRNA from 1 species